rnacentral:misc_RNA from 1 species
GGGCGACCUGUGCCAAAAGCAAAGGUAAAGCCAAAACAUAAAUCCUGAUUUGAGGUUGAAAUACACUAUUCAGCAUCUAAAUCUCAAUAAGAAAAGUGUUAAACAAUGGGUAUAUGAUAGGCAUACUAUUUCUAGGAUGAAACAAUAAUAAGAUACUAUGAAUGCAUGGCAUGCUUGGAUUGUAUUAUUUCUGAUGCAUUAUAAUCCUAAUUUCUAGUCAGCAGAUUGAGCAUAUGCAUGGAUUGGGUAUUAAAACUCAGAGAUGUUGGAUGUGAGCAAUUUCCUUAGGUUCCAAGAUGGGCACUUAAGAAUUUAUUAAUUCUAGAUGAAUUGUUAAGCCUCUGCAGUUAGAGAAUUUACAUUGGUUGUCUUACAGGGCAAUCUUUGUUUGUCUAAUAAACCAUGGAACCAAUGGGUAAUAUGGAUGCAUGGCCUGCAUGGCUUUUAUUCUUUUGUGAUGAUGGGUAUUUAGAUGGAUUAAGUACUAAAACCCAAAAAGAACUUAAAAGUGGGCAACUUCUCUAGUCACUAGAUGUUUCCUUAUGAGUUAAACUGUUAGGUCUCUAGAGUGGUGAUUUUGCAUAAGUUUGUCUUGUGCCACAUAUUUGUGUCCAACUAAUCAAAUGUGCUGAUUGUCUUGUUAAUAGUGAUCUUUUUGUUUUUCUUCUCCUGUAUUUCUCCUUGAAGAGAAGGCUGACAAUGUGAAUUUGCUUCUUGUUAGAUUG